GCCCCGGUAGUGCAGUGGCUUUAACGCACCCUCGGAAAGGCUAUGACGCGGAUUCAACUCCCGCCCGUGGCU